UCAACUCACGUCAUGAAAUCAAAGAAGUUCCAGCUCUUGCACCAACUUUUGAACAAUUCUCAUGUUAUGUCUAUUGGGUUAUCAUCACCAUCGUUGCAAUUAUUACUCAGGGAUCCAAUUUAUGAGAAGCCGUUCGGAACUUGAAUGGUACCACGAUUCAAACUAAUGGUGUAAAGAAGUUAAUUGAUGAUUGGUUAUUUGAAAUGAUGUUUGUAAAGUUGGCACCGUUUGCAAGUAACCAAGAUGAAUAUAGAGACCAAUUCAGUUUUGUAGACUGUUUAUAGUGUUAUGGUUUCAGAACUUGUGGUUGCUGGAAUAUAAAGAGUUUGUUUUGUUGAGAGCUGUAUUUUGAAGAUAUACUACUAGAGCUUGGUAUUGCCGAGAGCUGCAGCUACUUGUUGGUAGAGCGGUCCAUUAUUCUGAACCCUGGUCUAUGCUUUUGAAUAUUUGAGUUGCAAAUUUUGUUUUUAGAGCAACAAGAGCAUUGUGUAAUACUAUUGUAUAUGUAGAUAUGUAAUUUUUAAGUAUUUGAUCAUGUAGUUUCUAUGUUUUCGAAUAUUAUAAAAU